rnacentral:misc_RNA from 1 species
GAUGAAGAACGCAGCGAAAUGCGAUAAGUAAUGUGAAUUGCAGAAUUCAGUGAAUCAUCGAAUCAUUGAACGCACAUUGCGCCCGCCAGUAUUCUGGCGGGCAUGCCUGUUCGAGCGUCAUUACAACCCUCAGGCCCCCGGGCCUGGCGUUGGGGAUCGGCGGAAGCCCCCUGCGGGCACAACGCCGUCCCCCAAAUACAGUGGCGGUCCCGCCGCAGCUUCCAUUGCGUAGUAGCUAACACCUCGCAACUGGAGAGCGGCGCGGCCACGCCGUAAAACACCCAACUUCUGAAUGUUGACCUCGAAUCAGGUAGGAAUACCCGCUGAACUUAAGCAUAUCAAUAAGCGGAGGA